GUUAGUUCUGAGUGAAUUCCCUCGGUAUGAUAAUUCUUUCAUCAGUUUGUUCCCUGUUUCUUCUCUAUCCUGAGCCUGACACACUAUUCUAGCUAGACAUGGGUGUGGCUCGUAACACCUGAUGACUAAAUGGAUCGACGGCACCAUCGAAUCUCAAACUUUAACUGCCAAAACUAUUGUUUUUCAUCCUGUAGUCCCAUUUAGAAUUAGUAAACGUCCUUUUUUGGGCCGAGAUUUAGAGGAACGCUUUCUCGGGGUUUGUGUGCAAGUAUUUCAAACCAUACGGACCUAAAAAUUAGAAGUCAUUCCAUCUUUAUUCCCCUAGUCAUCAGGUAUACACUCAAGUCGGAGCACGUUAUCAUUCUUGUUAGUUCUGAGUGAAUUCCCUCGGUAUGAUAAUUCUUUCAUAAAUUUGUUCCCCGUUUCUUAUAUGGCCUGAGCCUGACACACUAUUCUAGCUAGACAUGGGUGUGGCUCGUAACACCUGAUGACCAAACGGAUCUACGGCACCAUCAAAUCUCAAACUUUAACUGCCAAAACUAUUCUUUUUCAUUCUGUAGUCCCUUCUAGAAUUACUAAACGUCCUUUUUUGGGCCGAGAUUUCCAGGAACGCUUUCUCGGGGUUUGUGUGCAUGUAUUUCAAACCAUACAGACCUAAAAAUUAUAAGUCAUUCCAUCUUUAUUCCCGUAGAGCCUUCCAGUAGUUCCUAAACCGCUCCAGUCGGAGCAUGUUAUCAUUCUUGUUAGUUCUAAGUGAAUUCCCUCGGUAUGAUAAUUCUUUCAUCAGUUUGUUCCCCGUUUCUUCUCUAGCCUGAGCCUGGCACACUAGUCUAGCUAGACAUGGGUGUGGCUCGUAACACCCGAUGACUAAAUGGAUCGACGGCACCAUCGAAUCUCAAACUUUAACUGCCAAAACUAUUGUUUUUCAUCCUGUAGUCCCAUUUAGAAUUACUAAACGUCCUUUUUUGGGCCGAGAUUUAGAGGAACGCUUUCUCGUGGUUUGUGUGCAAGAAUUUCAAACCAUACGGACCUAAAAAUUAGAAGUCAUUCCAUCUUUAUUCCCCUAGAGCCUUCCAGUAGUUCCUAAACCGCUCUAGUCGGAGCACGUUAUCAUUCUUGUUAGUUCUGAGAGAAUUCCCUCGGUAUGAUAAUUCUUUUAUCAGUUUGUUCCCCGUUUCUUCUCUAGCCUGAGCCCGACACACUAUUCUAGCUAGACAUGGGUGUGGCUCGUAACACCUGAUGACCAAACGGAUCUACGGCACCAUCGAAUCUCAAACUUUAACUGCCAAAACUAUUGUUUUUCAUCCUGUAGUCCCUUUUAGAAUUACUAAAUGUCCUUUUUUGGGCCGAGAUUUCCAGGAACGCUUUCUCAGGGUUUGUGUGCAAGUAAUUCAAACCAUACGGACCUAAAAAUUAGAAGUCAUUCCAUCUUUAUUCCCCUAGAGCCUUCCAGCAGUUCCUAAACCGCUCAAGUCAGUGCACGUUAUCAUUCUUGUUAGUUCUAAGUGAAUUCCCUCGGUAUGAUAAUUUGUUCAUCAGUUUGUUCCCCGUUUCUUCUCUAGCCUGAGCCUGACACACUAUUCUAGCUAGACAUGGGUGUGGCUCGUAACACCUGAUGACCAAACGGAUCUACGACACCAUCGAAUCUCAAACUUUAACUACCAAAACUAUUGUUUUUCAUCCUCUAGUCCCUUUUAGAAUUACUAAACGUCCUUUUUUGGGCCGAGAUUUCCAGGAACGCUUUCUCGGGGUUUGUGUGCAUGUAUUUCAAACCAUACAGACCUAAAAAUUAGAAGUCAUUCCAUCUUUAUUCCCGUAGAGCCUUCCAGCAGUUCCUAAACCGCUCCAGUCGGAGCAUGUUAUCAUUCUUGUUUGUUCUGAGUGAAUUCCCUCGGUAUGAUAAUUCUAUCAUCAGUUUGUUCCCCGUUUCUUCUCUAGCCUGAGCCUGGCAAACUAUUCUAGCUAGACAUGGGUGUGGCUCGUAACACCUGAUGACCAAACGGAUCUACGACACCAUCGAAUCUCAAACUUUAACUACCAAAACUAUUGUUUUUCAUUCUAUAGUCCCUUCUAGAAUUUCUAAACGUCCUUUUUUGGGCCGAGAUUUCCAGGAAUGCUUUCUCGGGGUUUGUGUGCAAGUAUUUCAAAUCAUACGGACCUAAAAAUUAGAAGUCAUUCCAUCUUUAUUCCCCUAGAGCCUUCCAGUAGUUCCUAAACCGCUCCAGUCGGAGCACGUUAUCAUUCUUGUUAGUUCAUAGUGAAUUCCCUCGGUAUGAUAAUUCUUUCAUCAGUUUGUUCCCCGUUUCUUCUCUAGCCUGAGCCUGGCACAGUAUUCUAGCUAGACAUGGGUGUGGUCGUAACACCUGAUGACUAAAUGGAUCGACGGCACCAUCGAAUCUCAAACUUUAACUGCCAAAACUAUUGUUUUUCAUCCUGUAAUCCCAUUUAGAAUUACUAAACGUCCUUUUUUGGGCCGAGAUUUAGAGGAACGCUUUGUUGGGGUUUGUGUGCAAGUAUUUCAAACCAUACGGACCUAAAAAUUAGAACUCAUUCCAUAUUUAUUCCCCUUGAGCCUUCCAGCAGUUCCUAAACCGCUCUAGUCGGAGCACGUUAUCAUUCUUGUUAGUUCUAAGAGAAUUCCCUCGGUAUGAUAAUUCUUUUAUCAGUUUGUUCCCCGUUUCUUCUCUAGACUGGGCCCGACACACUAUUCUAGCUAGACAUGGGUGUGGCUCGUAACACCUGAUGACCAAACGGAUCUACGGCACCAUCGAAUCUCAAACUUCAACUGCCAAAACUAUUGUUUUUCAUCCUGUAGUCCCUUUUAGAAUUACUAAACGUCCUUUUUUGGGCCGAGAUUUCCAGGAACGCUUUCUCGGGGUUUGUGUGCAAGUAUUUCAAACCAUACGGACCUAAAAAUUAGAAGUCAUUCCAUCUUUAUUCCCGUAGAGCCAUCCAGCAGUUCCUAAACCGCUCCAGUCGGAGCACGUUAUCAUUCUUGUUAGUUCUGAGUGAAUUCCCUCGGUAUGAUAAUUCUUUCAUCAGUUUGUUCCCCGUUUCUUCUCUAGCCUGAGCCUGACAAACUAUUAUAGCUAGACAUGGGUGUGGCUCGUAACACCUGAUGACCAAACGGAUCUAUGGCACCAUCGAAUCUCAAACUUUAACUGCCAAAACUAUUGUUUUUCAUCCUGUAGUCCCUUUUAGAAUUACUAAACGCCCUUCUUUGGGACGAGAUUUCCAGGAACGCUUUCUCGGGGUUUGUGUGAAAGUAAUUCAAACCAUACGGACCUAAAAAUUAGAAGUCAUUCCAUCUUUAUUCCCGUGGAGCCUUCCAGUAGUUCCUAAACCGCUCCAGUCGGAGCACGUUAUCAUUCUUGUUAGUUCUGAGUGAAUUCCCUCGGUAUGAUAAUUCUUUCAUCAGUUUGUUCCCUGUUUCUUCUCUAGCCUGAGCCUGGCACACUAUUCUAGCUAGACAUGGGUGUGGCUCGUAACACCUGAUGACUAAACUGAUCAAUGACACCAUCGAAUCUCAAACUUUAACUGCCAAAACUAUUGUUUUUCAUCCUGUAGUCCCAUUUAGAAUUACUAAACGUCCUUUUUUGGGCCGAGAUUUCCAGGAACGCUUACUCGGGGUUUGUGUGCAAGUAUUUCAAACCAUACUGACCUAAAAAUUAGAAGUCAAUCCAUCUUUAUUCCCCUAGAGCCUUCCAGCAGUUCCUAAACCGCUCCAGUCGGAGCACGUUAUCAUUCUUGUUAGUUCUGAGUGAAUUCCCUCGGUAUGAUAAUUCUUUCAUCAGUUUGUUCCUUGUUUCUUCUCUAGCCUGAACCUGACACACUAUUCUAGCUAGACAUGGGUGUGGCUCGUAACACCUGAUGACCAAACGGAUCUACGGCACCAUCGAAUCUCAAACUUUAACUGCCAAAACUAUUAUUUUUAAUCCUCUAGUCCCAUUUAGAAUUACUAAACGUCCUUUUUUGGGCCGAGAUUUAGAGGAACGCUUUCAUGCGGUUUGUGUGCAAGUAUUUCAAACCAUACGGACCUAAAAAUUAGAAGUCAUUCCAUCUUUAUUCCCCUAGAGCCUUCCAGCAGUUCCUAAACCGCUCCAGUCGGAGCAUGUUAUCAUUCUUGUUAGUUCUGAGUGAAUUCCCUCGGUAUGAUAAUUCUUUCAUCAGUUUGUGGCCCGUUUCUUCUCUAGCCUGAGCCUGACACACUAUUCUAGCUAGACGUGGGUGUGGCUCGUAACACCUGAUGACCAAACGGAUCUACGGCACCAUCGAAUCUCAAACUUUAAGUGCCAAAACUAUUAUUUUUAAUCCUGUAGUCCCAUUUAGAAUUAC
rnacentral:lncRNA from 1 species